rnacentral:rRNA from 1 species
AGAGUUUGAUCCUGGCUCAGGAUGAACGCUGGCGGCGUGCUUAACACAUGCAAGUCGAACGAUGAACCACUUCGGUGGGGAUUAGUGGCGAACGGGUGAGUAACACGUGGGCAAUCUGCCCUGCACUCUGGGACAAGCCCUGGAAACGGGGUCUAAUACCGGAUAACACUCCCGCACUCAUGUGUGGGGGUUAAAAGCUCCGGCGGUGCAGGAUGAGCCCGCGGCCUAUCAGCUUGUUGGUGAGGUAAUGGCUCACCAAGGCGACGACGGGUAGCCGGCCUGAGAGGGCGACCGGCCACACUGGGACUGAGACACGGCCCAGACUCCUACGGGAGGCAGCAGUGGGGAAUAUUGCACAAUGGGCGAAAGCCUGAUGCAGCGACGCCGCGUGAGGGAUGACGGCCUUCGGGUUGUAAACCUCUUUCAGCAGGGAAGAAGCGCAAGUGACGGUACCUGCAGAAGAAGCGCCGGCUAACUACGUGCCAGCAGCCGCGGUAAUACGUAGGGCGCAAGCGUUGUCCGGAAUUAUUGGGCGUAAAGAGCUCGUAGGCGGCUUGUCACGUCGGGUGUGAAAGCCCGGGGCUUAACCCCGGGUCUGCAUUCGAUACGGGCUAGCUAGAGUGUGGUAGGGGAGAUCGGAAUUCCUGGUGUAGCGGUGAAAUGCGCAGAUAUCAGGAGGAACACCGGUGGCGAAGGCGGAUCUCUGGGCCAUUACUGACGCUGAGGAGCGAAAGCGUGGGGAGCGAACAGGAUUAGAUACCCUGGUAGUCCACGCCGUAAACGGUGGGAACUAGGUGUUGGCGACAUUCCACGUCGUCGGUGCCGCAGCUAACGCAUUAAGUUCCCCGCCUGGGGAGUACGGCCCGCAAGGCUAAAACUCAAAGGAAUUGACGG